CUGCUAUCUCCUUUCCUUGUGCUACACUUAUGUCCCUGUUGGUUGGAGUACAUAGAAGGGAAACAAGUGAGUGGUCUAACUGAUGCUUCUAGGGCUUCAGUAUUUCAGAGGAGGCUUCAGAGGAGAAGAGAGAUGUCCAAUGUAUGCUAAGAAACUGAUAUUUUCUGUUGGUGAUUAAGCCAGGAAAGAAGCAAAGAAAAACACUGUUUUCUAUAUAGGAGCCAACUAAGAGAUCGCUGGGAUUCCAUUUUUCACAUCUUACAUUUUGAUUAAAUUAUUCAGUAUCAACUCAACUGCUCUUCUAAUCAUCAUGCCUGCUUUGUUUUACCAAGGCAUCUCUCAGAAGCCUGGAGGAAAUGAAAAAUUUUCAUGGAAAGAUACAACUUUAAUUGAAACUGGAGUAAUUGGAAUAAUUUUCAUAAUAAUAAUGAUAAUCCCAUUUUUCUGUUGCAUAAAAAGAUGCAAAGAACGGGGUUUUCGCCGAGGACACUCAGGUAAGAUUGAACUAUUAAUCCCCCCAAUAGAAAUAAUUAAAUUACUUAAGCAUAAAAAUAAGAUAAUGUUAUAAACUAUAACUUGGUGC